CGCGACCAAAGCUUUGCCUGGGCCCGGCCCCUGUCCCGCCCUCCACCCGGGCACCACCAAGGGCCAAACUUUCCCUUCUCCCUCCACCUGCCGACACGCGGCGCGCUGACGUCACCGCGCAGGUCGCGCCCCGCCUUGGGAACCGCCUCUGGCCGCCAUGUCAAGUGUGUCUAAGUAAACGCGAGCAGGCACAGAGCCCAGAAGGUGGAAAUUGAUGGUUGAAGGGAAGAAAAUCCUAGGUGCUGCCUUCCUUUCUCCUUUUGCAGGGAAGAGUGGAGGGGGCAUUGUGGCAGAGAAGAACUACAUCUGAUGCUAAGGAUUGGCAAUCUCAAGGUUACGAUUCCAUGAUUUAAAUGAACAAAGAUUUGGCAGCCGUUUUGAUACCAGAAGUUCAAACUAUGACCCCUUUCUCAGCCUGUGGAAAUUCUUCUGUGUGAAAACACUGUCAUAAAUGUCAUACAGUGGUGACCGAAGCAGUCUUGACUUCUUUUCAUGUUCUGCUAAAAGACAAGAAAGGUACAGUGUUAACAAAUUCUCCCCCCCCCCAGUACUGGGGAUUGAACCCAGGGCCUUUGCACCUCCAGCCUUAAAAAAAAAAAAAAUCUGGCUGAGUUCCUUAGGUUGAGCUCAAACUAAAUAUCAAUAUC